AUUGAACGCUGGCGGCAGGCCUAACACAUGCAAGUCGAGCGAGCGGCGGACGGGUGAGUAAUGUCUGGGAAACUGCCUGAUGGAGGGGGAUAACGACUGGAAACGGUAGCUAAUACCGCAUACCAUCAGAUGUGCCCAGAUGGGAUUAGCUAGUAGGUGGGGUAACGGCUCACCUAGGCGACGAUCCCUAGCUGGUCUGAGAGGAUGACCAGCGACACUGGAACUGAGACACGCUCCAUAAUCCUACGGGAGGCAGCAGUGGGGAAUAUUGCACAAUGGGCGCAAGCCUGAUGCAGCCAUGCCGCGUGUGUGAAGAAGGCCUUCGGGUUGUAAAGCACGUUCAGCGGGGAGGCGUUACCCGCAGAAGAAGCAACGGCUAACUCCGUGCCAGCAGCCGCGGUAAUUC
rnacentral:rRNA from 1 species